ACACACACACACACACACACACACACACACACACACACACACACACACACACACACACACACCUCAUUUUUGUGACUUGAUUUGCGAUUUGAUUUAUGUUUUUUGCUCAUGAACCAAUAAACAGCAGGGGACUGACAGAGUAUAUUUUGGCGAAUUGUUUUGUCAGAGCACAAACAUACUGAGCGGACACCGUGAUGAGGCAUGAGAAAGUACUAAAAGAUAAAGGAGCAGAAUGUUUUUUUAUGGGUGAUUCAUAUGUUUUCCACCAUGAGUAAGACAUACUUGUUGGAAUCUGUUUUUUUUUUUUUAACUGCUGUGUUUCCCAGCUGCACCCAAAGCCUCCAAUUCCCCUUGACUGGGAAAAACUUUAACAUUUUAAAGCCACUUUCACAUGUACAGCAGGUAAGUGUUUCAUGGUGAAGAUACGUGUUUUUGUUGGAGUUUCACUUUGAAACCCCUGCCAGUGAGAUGUUUACAUUAUUUCAUCUCUCCCCUGUAGACAAAGCAACUGGUGGGUGGUGACCCUGGGUGUGUAACAGGUCAGUACGAGAGAAUCUCUGCCAAAAUGUCUCAAUCUUUUGAAGUCCUAUCAGUUCCACUCAUGAUUUUGAAGAGUGUGACUGCCUCCCACAGCAGGACUGCACAGCAGCGAUGGGAUUUCCAUGUCUUUUGAAAGCGAUGGGUUGUUUUGAACUGGGUAGAGCUGUGGCUUUAGACCCUGACGCAGUUAUAGGCCUGCGACAGGCCAAAGACAGUUUACACUUUAAAUCCGAGUUAUGGCUGUAAACUCUCACCAGAUAACGUUUGAUUGUUGAUUAUUGCAAGCAAAGCCAUGUCCAAAUAAAUAUUGCUUUUUUGGCCUUUACAGAAUUUAUUUUUGGACGCAUACUGAGGGAAUAAUGUCUGCAGCUGCACAUCUGUCUGUCCUCUGACAGCGAUUACAAGAUAACUGCAUGUAAGAACAACAUUAAACAGCUUAUUGUUUAAAUGCCAUGGCUCAAUGGCGGUAAUAUAAAAACAGUUACAAUUUCUUGUUUGCAGCAUUUUAGGACCUUGCAUCCUCCUUUAGGCGAACGCUCUCACCAAGCACACCGAUGAUGUUAAUUGGAGCCAAUGAGAGCUCACUGCAUAGAGCUUGGGCCUUGAGUCGACAGGGCGAUAUAAAUCCACACACCUUUGGUUAAAAAGCAUGAAACAGUUGGGAAACAAUAGUGACCAGACUAAGAACAGCAUUACACAUGUGGAAGAUUAUCCACCUAAUCAAGUUCCAAGUGGAUAUGAUAAGGCUCUGUUGUAUCGCUCCUGGAAUAUUUUAAUUUAUGCUGUUCUAGGACCUUCAAUGCAACUGCCCAAUCACGCUGUCAUUAUCUAAUUUUCACACUAUUCACUUUGUGUCAGUCAUAUCUUUUGCCCAAGAUAUGACAUGACAAACACAUGACCAGUCAGUUUAAACGCUGGUUACGGCAGCAACAUUAAUUAUCACGUUCCAGCAAUGACACCAGCAUGGAGAUUAGCCUCUGUCUAGCAAGAUCCCUCCAACUCUGCUGCAUGUGUUAUGAUGCAUUCAAGGGUGUAAAUAAUCAAUUUCCUGUCCAUGUGUCUAGUCUUGUUGUCACCAGGGCCGUUUCUUGUUAUAUGCGGACUUUGCAGGAGCAUAGAGCCCCCGCACCACUAGGGGGCCCUCUCAAGUUGCAAGUCCAGUCUCAAUAUCUGAGGAGUAACCCGACGGAGAAGGUAUGAAAAGUACCUGGCACCUGGCCCACUGAUUGGUCAGAUCAGCUCUCUACCGAUUGGUCAGAUCUGGUGUCUACCGCGCCGCGUUGCUACGACGACCAAUACUACUAAGAGCUGCCGGUACCGGUCAUUCGCGGCAUGGCGUCAAAACGAACCAUUCAUCUGGUUCAGAAAAAAAGAUUAAAAAAAAAAAAAGACUAGAUGAAGAAAAACUGCUCACAGGAUAAAGGAGAAAGCUGCAGUACUGUUCCAUUGUGGCGCACCAGAAGUGUUUCGUGUCUUACGCAACUUCAUUUGACUUUCAAACAGCACCAGGCUGUGCUCCGAUGGUUUUCAUCAGCACGGACACAGAGGAGGCCGGGCCUGUGAUGUAGGAGGAGCCAGUGUCGAUCACAGCUGUGCAGCCCUCUGCACAAAACAUCAUGUCCAUCCCGACAGAGACGCUGGAGGGAUGAAAGGAGAGGCGGCGGGCAAUUGAACCAUCCUUUUAGUGUCUGACUGUAAACAGUGAGCUCAGGACAUGAUACCUAUAUGACGGGGUGACAUGCCGGCAGCGGUCGGAUUCGAACCCUGUGCCUCUGCAGCGAGGACACAGCUGCUGUUAAAUGAACUCCCAUGAACUACUGGCGCAGCGCUUUUCAAUGGUGUUCUUGCAUUUUAACAACAAGUCCUCAUCUACUUCGGCUGUUUGGGAGAAAGCUGCAGUACUGUUCCAUUGUGGCGCACCAGAAGUGUUUUGUGUAUUACGCAACUUCAUUUGACUUUCAAACAGCACCAGGGGGAAAGAAAAACAUUAUCCCAUUCCUUCAACCACCAACACAUGGACGUAUGAGUUCAAUUUAUACAAUUAACCAGACGGAGGUCAGUGGUCUCAGUUCUACCCACCUGCUGUAGUAGACCGAGAACACCUCUUCCUUGAGGACAUGCUGAGACAUGAUGCGGUCAAACACUGGAGUGAUGCCAUCGAUGGCC